rnacentral:rRNA from 1 species
CACGUAGGGCGCAAGCGUUUGUCCGGAAUUAUUGGGCGUAAAGAGCUCGUAGGCGGUCUGUUACGUCUGCUGUGAAAACCCUGGGCUUAACCCUGGGCUUGCAGUGGAUACGGGGCAGACUAGAGGCAGGUAGGGGAGAAUGGAAUUCCCGGUGUAGCGGUGAAAUGCGCAGAUAUCGGGAGGAACACCGGUGGCGAAGGCGGUUCUCUGGGCCUGACCUGACGCUGAGGAGCGAAAGCGUGGGGAGCGAACAGG